AUAACGGUCCUAAGGUAGCGAAAUUCCUUGUCAGGUAAGUUCUGACCCGCACGAAAGGCGUAACGAUUUGGGCGCUGUCUCGGCAGCAGACUCGGUGAAAUCUUAGUACCUGUGAAAAUGCAGGUUACCCGCAACUAGACGGAAAGACCCCAUGGAGCUUUACUGUAGCCUGAUAUUGAAUUUUGAUCAAAGAUGUACAGGAUAGGUGGGAGGCGAAGAGACGUGUACGCCAGUAUACGAGGAGCCGCUGUUGGGAUACCACUCUUGUUUGAUUGAAGUUCUAACCUGCACCCAUGAACUGGGUGAGGGACCGUGUCAGGUGGGCAGUUUGACUGGGGCGGUCGCCUCCUAAAGAGUAACGGAGGCGCCCAAAGGUACGCUCAGAUUGGAUGGAAAUCAAUCGACGAGUGCAAAUGCAGAAGCGUGCUUGACUGUGAGACAAACAAGUCGAACAGGGACGAAAGUCGGGAUUAGUGAUCCGGCGGUGCCGAAUGGAAGGGCCGUCGCUCAACGGAUAAAAGCUACCCUGGGGAUAACAGGCUGAUCUCGCCCAAGAGUUCACAUCGACGGGGAGGUUUGGCACCUCGAUGUCGGCUCAUCGCAUCCUGGAGCUGAAUUCGGUUCCAAGGGUUGGGCUGUCCGCCCAUUAAAGCGGUACGCGAGCUGGGUUCAGAACGUCGUGAGACAGUUCGGUCCCUAUCUGUUGUGGGCGUUGGAGAUCUGAGGAGAGCUGUCCUUAGUACGAGAGGACCGGGAUGGACCUACCGCUGGUGCACCAGUUGUUCCGCCAGGAGCAUAGCUGGGUAGCUAAGUAGGGAAGGGAUAAGCGCUGAAAGCAUCUAAGCGCGAAGCCUACUCCAAGAUGAGAUCUCCCAUUCGUAUAACGAAGUAAGACCCCUUGAAGACGACGAGGUGGAUAGGUCAGAGAUGGAAGUGUAGCGAUACAUGGAGUUGACUGAUACUAAUAGGUCGAGGACUUAAUCAC
rnacentral:rRNA from 1 species